rnacentral:misc_RNA from 1 species
CGCACAUUGCGCCCACCAGUAUUCUGGUGGGCAUGCCUGUUCGAGCGUCAUUUCAACCCUCAGAGUCAUUACUCUGGUGCUGGGGAUCGUCCGCCCUCUGCGGCGGCCGGCCCUUAAAUGAAGUGGCGGUCUCGUUGCGACCUCCUCUGUGUAGUAGUGAUACCUCGCAGCUGGAUAGCGACCUGACCACGCCGUAAAACACCCCAAUUUUUUAUGGUUGACCUCGAAUCAGGUAGGAAUACCCGCUGAACUUAA